UCUGAAUAGGGCGCAUAAGUAACAGGUCGUAGACCCGAAACCAGGUGAUCUACCCAUGUCCAGGAUGAAGGUAAGGUAAUACUUACUGGAGGUCCGAACCCACGCACGUUGAAAAGUGCGGGGAUGAGGUGUGGGUAGCGGAGAAAUUCCAAUCGAACUUGGAGAUAGCUGGUUCUCUCCGAAAUAGCUUUAGGGCUAGCCUCGAGGUAAAGAGUCAUGGAGGUAGAGCACUGUUUGGACUAGGGGCCCUUCUCGGGUUACCGAAUUCAGAUAAACUCCGAAUGCCAUGUACUUAUACUCGGGAGUCAGACUGCGAGUGAUAAGAUCCGUAGUCGAAAGGGAAACAGCCCAGACCACCAGUUAAGGUCCCCAAAUAUAUGUUAAGUGGAAAAGGAUGUGGGGUUGCUUAGACAACCAGGAUGUUGGCUUAGAAGCAGCCACCAUUGAAAGAGUGCGUAAUAGCUCACUGGUCGAGUGACCCCGCGCCGAAAAUGUACCGGGGCUAAACAUAUUACCGAAACUGUGGAUGAACCUCUUUAGAGGUUCGUGGUAGGAGAGCGUUCUAAGGGCGGUGAAGUCAGACCGGAAGGACUGGUGGAGCGCUUAGAAGUGAGAAUGCCGGUAUGAGUAGCGAAAGAAGGGUGAGAAUCCCUUCCACCGAAUAUCUAAGGUUUCCUGAGGAAGGCUCGUCCGCUCAGGGUUAGUCGGGACCUAAGCCGAGGCCGAUAGGCGUAGGCGAUGGACAACAGGUAGAGAUUCCUGUACCAGUGCUAAUUGUUUAACCGAUGGGGUGACACAGAAGGAUAGGGAAUCGCACGAAUGGAAAUGUGCGUCCAAGCAGUGAGUGUGAGAAGUAGGCAAAUCCGCUUCUCGCGAAGCAUGAGCUGUGAUGGGGAAGGAAAUUAAGUACGGAAGUUCCUGAUUUCACGCUGUCAAGAAAAGCCUCUAGGAAGAGUAGUACUGCCCGUACCGCAAACCGACACAGGUAGAUGAGGAGAGAAUCCUAAGGUGAGCGAGAGAACUCUCGUUAAGGAACUCGGCAAAAUGACCCCGUAACUUCGGGAGAAGGGGUGCUCUAUUAGGGUGCAAGCCCGAGAGAGCCGCAGUGAAUAGGCCCAGGCGACUGUUUAGCAAAAACACAGGUCUCUGCAAAACCGUAAGGUGACGUAUAGGGGCUGACGCCUGCCCGGUGCUGGAAGGUUAAGAGGAGUGCUUAGCUUCGGCGAAGGUACGAAUUGAAGCCCCAGUAAACGGCGGCCGUAACUAUAACGGUCCUAAGGUAGCGAAAUUCCUUGUCGGGUAAGUUCCGACCCGCACGAAAGGCGCAACGAUCUGGGCACUGUCUCAACGAGAGACUCGGUGAAAUUAUAGUACCUGUGAAGAUGCAGGUUACCCGCGACAGGACGGAAAGACCCCGUGGAGCUUUACUGCAACCUGAUAUGGAAUGUUUGUACCGCUUGUACAGGAUAGGUAGGAGCCGAAGAGACGUGUGCGCUAGCAUACGAGGAGGCAAUGGUGGGAUACUACCCUGGCUGUAUGACCAUUCUAACCCGCCACGCUUAGCGCGUGGGGAGACAGUGUCAGGUGGGCAGUUUGACUGGGGCGGUCGCCUCCUAAAGAGUAACGGAGGCGCCCAAAGGUUCCCUCAGAAUGGAUGGAAAUCAUUCGCAGAGUGUAAAGGCACAAGGGAGCUUGACUGCGAGACUGACAAGUCGAGCAGGGACGAAAGUCGGGCUUAGUGAUCCGGUGGUUCCGCAUGGAAGGGCCAUCGCUCAACGGAUAAAAGCUACCCCGGGGAUAACAGGCUUAUCUCCCCCAAGAGUCCACAUCGACGGGGAGGUUUGGCACCUCGAUGUCGGCUCGUCGCAUCCUGGGGCUGUAGUCGGUCCCAAGGGUUGGGCUGUUCGCCCAUUAAAGCGGCACGCGAGCUGGGUUCAGAACGUCGUGAGACAGUUCGGUCCCUAUCCGUCGCGGGCGCAGGAAAUUUGAGAGGAGCUGUCCUUAGUACGAGAGGACCGGGAUGGACACACCGCUGGUGUACCAGUUGUUCCGCCAGGAGCAUCGCUGGGUAGCUAUGUGUGGCAGGGAUAAACGCUGAAAGCAUCUAAGCGUGAAGCCCCCCUCAAGAUGAGAUUUCCCAUUUCUUCGGAAAGUAAGAUCCCUGAAAGAUGAUCAGGUAGAUAGGUUUGGAGUGGAAGUGUAGCGAUACAUGGAGCGGACAAAUACUAAUCGAUCGAGGACUUAACCAAAA
rnacentral:rRNA from 1 species